rnacentral:rRNA from 1 species
AGCGAACGCUGGCGGCAGGCUUAACACAUGCAAGUCGAACGAACCCUUCGGGGUUAGUGGCGGACGGGUGAGUAACACGUGGGAACGUGCCUUUAGGUUCGGAACAACACAGGGAAACUUGUGCUAAUACCGAAUGUGCCCUUCGGGGAAGAUUUNUCGCCUUUAGAGCGGCCCGCGUCUGAUUAGCUUGUUGGUGAGGUAAAGGCUCACCAAGGCUACGAUCAGUAGCUGGUCUGAGAGGAUGGCCAGCCACAUUGGGACUGAGACACGGCCCAAACUCCUACGGGAGGCAGCAGUGGGGAAUCUUGCGCAAUGGGCGAAAGCCUGACGCAGCCAUGCCGCGUGGAUGAUGAAGGUCUUAGGAUUGUAAAUCCUUUCAGCGGGA